GACGUAGUUGGUCCCGUAAAGGGGAAUAACUAGCAGGCUGCCAUUUCUUAAUUUCAUUGUUAUGUCCCUUGUUUUUGGCGGUCUACUAUUCGCUUUUUUUCUUUUCAUUUUUUUCAUUGUUAUGUCCCUUGUUUUCACUUUUUUAUUAUUCGCUUUUUUUCUUUUCAAUUUACAUUUUCGUAAUUAAAAUUAUUUCAACCUCCAAGUGUGCUAUAGCUUCAUGAAUUUUCCCGGAACCUCACCAUCUAGACGAAAUUACAAAUUGUAUAGAUCGAGAUCUAAAAGAUCUAGAAAUCUAGAAAUCUAGAUCUAAAAUCUAGAAGAGUAAGAUCUUAAAUUAAUUCUUUGGUUUCGAAGUGACCAACCCAUUUUCAAAGUUCGAUGACGCGCUGCAAUUUAAAAUUCAUUGUUGACAGUUUGCUAUCACUUUAUCAGCUGAGUCCACAUUCUGGCUUUGGCUGUACUAAAGACUUUAGGGAAGAAUCUGAUCUGGAAUAUGCCAAACAUCAUUAGAUCUAGAUUCUAGAUGUACACAUCAAAGGAAGAAGCUUCGACGUUCGAAGCCGGCAAUUGACAAGGUGUCCGAUGGUAACUUAGAAUAGGAUCAGGUGAUCGCAGGCCUAUAUGGCUUGUGGCGGCUCGUAUCACAGAACAGAUGGCUAAACUGUAAAAUGUACCUGCACUUGCUCCGAGCUGAGUUUCAAGUUGUUUAGAACCUGAAAAUCAACUCAGACAUCGGUCCACGAUUGUCAUUCAACUCAACUACGGGAACUUCUACUUCCCCUCCAUCAUCAGCCAGACCGUUAGAUCUAUCUCCAUCAGGGGCGAAAGCUGACUUGUUUGACAGGUUCCUCGUCCAAUGAUGAUCCUGGCACUGGCCCAUGCGUCUCUUCACCGGCCACCUUUCCAGUGGCUGCUACAGUUGGAGCCUCGCUGUCAGAAAAUGGGAGGACCAGAGACAGUUUCCUGAGACUCUGUGCAGGUUGAGCACCACAGAUGGAUCAUUUCUGCUUUUAAAAUGUUACGUAGCUCGAUGUACCAGGGAAAAUCCUGAAAAACCAAGAACAGUUGAGAUUUUUUGGGGGGUGUUUUUGGUACAUGUUUGUAUUUGUCGCGUGUCCCUUUUUCGGGUACAUGCCAUAUUACUGAUCUUAUUUGUGUCAGACAAAAUUAUUCACGA
rnacentral:lncRNA from 1 species